GUGCCCCCUCCUGAACCCCCUUCCCCCCCACUGCUCCCUAGUGCUGGGCGGGGGCACUGGGUCAGCCCCCAAUGAGGGGGGUGCCCCCUACUGAACCCCAUCCCCCCACUGCUCCCUAGUGCUGGGCGGGGGCAUUGGGUCAGCCCCCAAUGAGGGGGGUGACCCCUACUGAACCCCCUUCCCCCCACUGCUCCCUAGUGCUGGGCGGGGGCACUGGGUCAGCCCCCAAUGAGGGGGGUGCCCCCUCCUGAACCCCCUUCCCCCCACUGCUCCCUAGUGCUGGGCGGGGGCACUGGGUCAGCUCGCAAUGAGGGGGGUGCCCCCUACUGAACCCCAUCCCCCCACUGCUCCCUAGUGCUGGGCUGGGGCAUGGGGUCAGCCCUGACUGAGGGGGCUGCCCCCUACUGAACCCCUUUCCCCUUCAAAAUCUCCUCAGGCAAGGAGUUCCACAGAUUGAACUGUGUGCUGUGUGAAGAACUUCCUUUUAUUUGUUUUAAACUUGCUGCCCAUUAAUUUCAUUUGGUGGCCCUUAGUUCUUUUGUUAUGGGAAAGUAAAUAGCUUUUCCGUAUUCGCUUUCUCCGCACCACUCAUAAUUUUAUAGACCUCUAACAUAUCCCCCCUUCGUCUCCUCUUUUCCAAGCUGAAAAGUCCUAGCCUCUUUAAUCUCUCUUCAUAUGGGACCUGUUCCAAACCCCUCAUCAUUUUAGUUGCCCUUUUCUGAACCUUUUCUAAUGCCAGUAUAUCUUGUUUGAGAUGAGGGGACCACAUCUGUAUUCAGUAUUCAAGAUGUGGGCGUACCAUAAAUUUAUAUAAGGGCAAUAAGAUAUUCUCCAUCUUAUUCUCUAUCCCUUUUUUAAUGAUUUCUAACAUCCCAUUUGCUUUUUUGACUGCUGCUGCACAGUGCGUAGAUGUCUUCAGAGAACUAUCCACGAUGACUCCAAGAUCUUUCUCUUGAUUAGUUGUAGCUAAAUUAGCCUUCAUCAUAUUGUAUGUGUAGUUGGGGUUAUUUUUUCCAGUGUGCAUUAAUUUACAUUUAUCCACUUUAAAUUUCAUUUGCCAUUUUGUUGCCCAAUCCCUUAGUUUUGUGAGAUCUUUUUGAAGUUCUCCACAGUCUGCUUUGGUCUUCACUAUCUUGAGCAGUUUAGUAUCAUCUGCAAACUUUGCCACCUCACUGUUUACCCCUUUCUCCAGAUCAUUCCCUCCUCUUGUUUGUUAUGCUCACUUUUUCUGUCUUGUUUCAAGUCAGGCUGUAAGCUGUUUUGAGCAGACUCCAUCUGUGACUUCCUGUGAGUGUGCAGUGCACCCAGUCCUAGAUGGCCCUAUGCUAACUGUGAUAACGUGUUUUACACAGUAUAAAUAAUAAUCCUUUAUAAUCCAACCUGGAAUUGGUUUAGAAUUAUGAUAACCCCUUAAAUUAGAUCACAACUAGAAGAACAACAAGCGCUCCAUAAAUUCAGUGUGAAACUAUGUAAAUCUGGGGAUUAAAACAUAUUUUGAUAUCCUCUUCUCUUGAGUUCAGCGGGCUUCUCCCUUCACUUGGUCAUAAUCCAGCAGGAAUUCCAUAGAGGCUCAGAUUCUUUCUGCACCUAUGAGGGUAGGAGAAAAUGAAAAUGAGGGAAGUAAAUCUUCACAGGUUUGGCAAGAAAUGCACAAGUUUAGAUGCACCCUUUACAAAAUGGCAGACUGGGAUGGACAACACAAAUAGACUGGGACACAAACCAUAAAUCAGAUUUGACACACCUGAUGGUGUUUCAGGGAACUGGGGGAGGAGGGAGCAGACCAAGUGAGCCAGGGGUUUGAGCUGGGAUAUGCAGGCCGGUGAAGUGGGAGGGGGCAGGAGACUGAAGCUAUGCAGGAGGUCUGGGGUCAGGUAAAGCAGGGUUGUGAGGGAGGCCUGGGAUGCGGGAGAGCACAACAGCUCUGCGCUGCGGUAUCAGGACUCAACAGGCUUGGCUGGCCCUGCUGCCUUGAUUCCCCACCGGACUGAAGCAGCAGGACGAUGGGGAGCUCUUGAAGUGCCCAUGCUGGCUCCUCCAGUGCUGCUGCCAUGAUAGCAAUGACGAGGGAAGCGGAGUGUCUGGGCACUGGUGCCUGGAGGGCUCCUCACUGCACUACUUCCCCCAUGUGACAGACCAAUGCCUCCCUGCAGACGUACUGGCCACCCACCCCAUGAUAUCCCCACAUAGCCAAACAACCACUCUCCCCUGCUAAUCUCCCUGUACUCUUCCAUGGCUGUUCUCCCUUCUGGAUCCCCCUAGAGCCAUUUCCCCCACCCCCAGGCACCCUAUAACCUCACACACACCUCCCAAGCUCUCCCCACUGUGCUGUCCCCCUGGGAGCAGGGUGAUGACUGGAGUGUGGGGGAAUAUGGGAAAUCUGGGGAGGUGGGGGCAGAGGCUAGGGAAUGCAGGUCAGAUGUGGGAGUUUAGUGCUUCUGUUGCUGCCUCAGCUCCCCCUUGCACCAAGACAGCAGCAGUGUGAAUAAAGGGGUUCACAUUUUCAAAGGGGUUCACAAAUUGAUGGACCUCGGUUUUUGGGAGCCCAGCUUGAGAUACCAUGGACCUAGUUUUCAGAGGUGCUGAGCACCCACCAAAUAAGUGAACAUUUUUGAAAAUGCAGGUCUAAGGGACGGUCCUCCUGCAGCCAAGAGUCUCCUGGUGCCAAAGAAGUUUACACUUUGAACCAGAGAUGGAGGGGUUUUCCCCCUGCAGAUCGAAAGGGUCUCCAGUACUAGGAAGGAUUCCCACACAGGGAGAAGACCUCUAGACUUGGGGCAAGAGUCUUUUCUGGCACUGAACUGCAUCCAACAGCAAAACACAUCCUAGGAUGGGAAAUGUAGGCUGAAUAGCAGGAAAUGCGGCCAGGGAUAUGAACUCAGCUUUGGAGCAGGCUCCCAAGGGGCCAGGCAAGAGCCCCAUCAGGUCUCACCCUGCACUGUUACACCUUUGAGGGCACUGCCCUGACUUCUGGCCACAUGCCGUCGAUAUUCCCAAGCAUUUACUCAACACAGCCUGAAAUGAAGGUGUGACAACGCACCCCAUAUUCUUCACAGAGAUAUUACGAUACGAGUCUGGGAUAAUUAUGAUGUAUUUUAUGCAGGAUAGGUCAUGUCAGAGAUCGUUGGAAAGAUUAUGAUUUACCAAAUAUGAGUAUCCUAUUUGUGUGCAUGUAUCGUUUCUGUAUCUGAAGUUAGGAAUAUUGACUAUGAAUCUGUAUCACAAAAUGUGUUUACACCUGGGGAACGCCCACUAGGCAAAAGGCUCUCAGUCUAGAUGGCUGGCUGGGAAGGACCCAUUCAAAUUAAUGAACCGUUUGGGAGAACAAUAGGCCUUGGAAGAUUAUUGCCCAUGGGGGGCGGGGUAGCCUUCCUGAGGAUGCUACUAACGGCCUCUGACUCAUGGCUGCUAUGACUACAGGGACAUGUGAUCAGGUCACCUGGUGCUGGUCUCCAUCUUGGGAUACCAGUGUUUUUCCACUGGCUGGUGUGGGCACCAAGCUUUGAAAUAAAGGGUUCCCGCCAUAUGCAAAAGCUACAUAAGGCAGGGGAGUGACAUCAUCAUGGUUCUUCACUGACUCCCCACCCAAAGAGACUCCUGGAAACAGCUGAGGAACAAAGACUGAGCUGGGGGGAAACGACCCAGGCCAGAGGGAUUUUAAGCCUGUGACUGGAACACCUGGGGAUUCCAAGCUGUGAGUCCGCGUGGCUUGCCCCUUAAGAACGUGCAGCCUGCCGGUAUCAUUUAGGGUGAGGAUCUGCUAUUCAUAGCCAAUCUCUUUAGUAUAUUAAGCUUAGACUGCAUUUUUUUAUUUGCUAGGUCAUCUGCUUUGAUCUGUUUGCUCUCCCUAAUAAUCACUUAAAAUCUA